UUUAUCCCUUGAAAUGGACAAGUUUGAUACGUUUAAAUCUUUUAUGUACCUCUUUUGAAGUACUCUCUUUAAUUAGAAAUCAUGCAAGAUGUAUGUUACUCUACUAAGAUGGUGAAAGAUCAUGAUUCGUGCAGUGGGCUGGAAAUCAUAUACGAUGGAAGCCAAGGAUAUAUAGCAGAACUUCGUCUACAUGUAUCCGUCAGCGUGAGGAACAAGCAGUUUAUACAAUUUUUCUUUCAUCAUAAGAAAUUACUAAUUCUUCUUAUGGCCUAUAUUUUUCAUUCAUAUAAGAGUUCAC